GCCAGUAACAAACAUGGCUCCCUGAAGCCGCUCAGGCUCAAGAGCAACAUGGAGGUCUGCACUUAAUCGCUCCUCUCCGGGGGCGGCCAUACUGAGGAGGCAUCUCUUCCGUGCAGGCAGGCUCUCCUGGGGACCUCAGAGAUUCUCUCCAGCGGCAGCAGAAAACGGGCAAUGGGUGGAUUCGGGUCCAGAUUCUGGCAGGAGGGAGUUUGGGAUCGAGAUCUGGAAAAAAGCACUAGACUGGAAGAGGACGCGAUGGAGUCGGAGCCGCUGGCGGGUACAAAAACCAGAGGCCGGGGAAGGCGCCGGUGGGAGGCAAGGCACGGAUGGACUUUACCUGCGCACGCGUCGCAGCCAUCUCCGCGCACAGUGGUGGCCACCGCGACUGGUGCUGAAGUGUCGGCGUGUGCCGGGCGCUCCGCUGGGACCCGGGUUGCUCGCCCUGAGUCUCAGCUUUCUCAUCUGUACGGUUGGGACAAGUACAGUAACCCUCGCCCGUCAAGACGGGCCAGGGCUGUGGCGAGGGUCCACGCCUUAGAGCAGGCACCUAUCUUGUGCAGGGCCCUGAGAUGGGGUCUGACUCAGUUCCUGCGGGGAACUUCACCAGUGACCCAGUCAGUGCCCUUCAGUUAAAGACCACCAGGAGCACACUUAUAUCAUGGAAAUCAGGACAGUGGCAGUUCGGAUUGUGGCAAUCAAAGGGGUGGAAAGUGAAUUCUAUCUUGCAAUGAACGAGGAAGGAAAACUCUAUGCAAAGAAAGAAUGCAAUGAAGAUUGUAACUUCAAAGAACUAAUUCUGGAAAACCAUUACAACACAUAUGCAGCAGCUAAAUGGACACACAAUGGAGGGGAAAUGUUUGUUGCCUUAAAUCAAAAGGGGAUUCCUGUAAGAGGAAAAAAAACGAAGAAAGAACAAAAAACAGCCCACUUUCUUCCUAUGGCAAUAACUUAAUUGCAUAUGGUAUAUAAAGAACCAGUUCCAGUAGGGAGAUUUCUUUAAGUGGACUGUUUUCUUUCUUCUCAAAAUUUUCUUUCCUUUUAUUUUUUAGUAAUCAAGAAAGGCUGGAAAACUACUGAAAAACUGAUCAAGCUUGACUUGUGCAUUUAUGUUUGUUUUAAGACACUGCAUUAAAGAAAGAUUUGAAAAGUAUACACAAAAAUCAGAUUUAGUAACUAAAGGUUGUACAAAAUUGUAAAACUGGUUGUACAAUCAUGAUGUUAGUAAUAGUAAUUUUUUUCUUAAAUUAAUUUACCCUUAAGAGUAUGUUAGAUUUGAUUAUCUGAUAAUGAUUAUUUAAAUAUUCCUAUCUGCUUAUAAAAUGGCUGCUAUAAUAAUAAUAAUGCAGAUGAUGUUAUAUAAGGUGUAUCAGACCUACAGGCUGCUGGCAGGAUUUGUCAGAUAAUCAAGCCACACUAACUAUAGAAAAUGAGCAGCAUUUUAAAUGCUUUCUAGUGAAAAAUUAUAAUCUACUUAAACUCUAAUCAGAAAAAAAGAAUAUUCUCAAAAAAAUCUAUUACGAAAGUCAAUAAAAUAGAUAAUUUAACAAAAGUACAGGAUUAGAACAUGCUUAUACCUAUUAACAAGAACAAAAUUUCUAAUGCUGCUCAAGUGGAAAGGGUAUUGCUAAAAGGAUGUUUCCAAAAAUCUUGUAUAUAAGAUAGCAACAGUGAUUGAUGAUAAUACUGUACUUCAUCUUACUUGCCACAAAAUAACAUUUUAUAAUUUCUCAAAGUAAAAUUGAGAAAUCUUUAAGUUUUUUUCAAGUAACAUAAUCUAUCUUUGUAUAAUUCGUAUUUGGGAAUAUGGCUUUUAAUAAUGUUCUUCCCACAAAUAAUCAUGCUUUUUUCCUAUGGUUACAGCAUUAAACUAUAUUUUAAGUUGUUUUUGAA
ensembl:lncRNA novel transcript